rnacentral:rRNA from 1 species
UNUGACUUGAGUGCAGAAGGGGAGAGUGGAAUUCCAUGUGUAGCGGUGAAAUGCGUAGAUAUAUGGAGGANCACCAGUGACGAAAGCGGCUCUCUGGUCUGUCACUGACGCUGAGGCUCGAAAGCGUGGGUAGCGAACAGGAUUAGAUACCCUGGUAGUCCACGCCGUAAACGAUGAGUGCUAGGUGUUAGGCCCUUUCCGGGGCUUAGUGCCGGAGCUAACGCAAUAAGCACUCCGCCUGGGGAGUACGACCGCAAGGUUGAAACUCAAAGGAAUUGGCGGGGGCCCGCACAAGCGGUGGAGCAUGUGGUUUAAUUCGAAGCAACGCGAAGAACCUUACCAGGUCUUGACAUCCCGAUGCUAUUCUUAGAGAUAGGAAGUUACUUCGGUACAUCGGAGACAGGUGGUGCAUGGUUGUCGUCAGCUCGUGUCGUGAGAUGUUGGGUUAAGUCCCGCAACGAGCGCAACCCUUAUUGUUAGUUGCCAUCAUUAAGUUGGGCACUCUAGCGAGACUGCCGGUAAUAAACCGGAGGAAGGUGGGGAUGACGUCAAAUCAUCAUGCCCCUUAUGACCUGGGCUACACACGUGCUACAAUGGUCGGUACAACGAGUUGCGAGCCGGUGACGGCAAGCUAAUCUCUGAAAGCCGAUCUCAGUUCGGAUUGGAGGCUGCAACUCGCCUCCAUGAAGUCGGAAUCGCUAGUAAUCGCGGAUCAGCACGCCGCGGUGAAUACGUUCCCGGGCCUUGUACACANCGCCCGUCACACCACGAGAGUUUGUAACACCCGA